GCAGUCGAGGGGUAGAAGUCUUCGGAUUUUGAGACCGGCGCACGGGUGCGUAACGCGUAUGCAAUCUGCCUUUCACAGAGGGAUAGCCCAGAGAAAUUUGGAUUAAUACCUCAUAGUAUAGCAAAACCGCAUGGUUUUACUAUUAAAGUCACAACGGUGAAAGAUGAGCAUGCGUCCCAUUAGUUAGUUGGUAAGGUAACGGCUUACCAAGACUUCGAUGGGUAGGGGUCCUGAGAGGGAGAUCCCCCACACUGGUACUGAGACACGGACCAGACUCCUACGGGAGGCAGCAGUGAGGAAUAUUGGUCAAUGGGCGCAAGCCUGAACCAGCCAUGCCGCGUGCAGGAUGACGGUCCUAUGGAUUGUAAACUGCUUUUGUACGAGAAGAAACACCUCUACGUGUAGAGGCUUGACGGUAUCGUAAGAAUAAGGAUCGGCUAACUCCGUGCCAGCAGCCGCGGUAAUACGGAGGAUCCAAGCGUUAUCCGGAAUCAUUGGGUUUAAAGGGUCCGUAGGCGGUCUUGUAAGUCAGUGGUGAAAGCCCAUCGCUCAACGAUGGAACGGCCAUUGAUACUGCAGGACUUGAAUUAUUGGGAAGUAACUAGAAUAUGUAGUGUAGCGGUGAAAUGCUUAGAGAUUACAUGGAAUACCAAUUGCGAAGGCAGGUUACUACCAAUUUAUUGACGCUGAUGGACGAAAGCGUGGGUAGCGAACAGGAUUAGAUACCCUGGUAGUCCACGCCGUANACGAUGGAUACUAGCUGUUGGGCGCAAGUUCAGUGGCUAAGCGAAAGUGAUAAGUAUCCCACC
rnacentral:rRNA from 1 species